UGAUUCCUGUGUGGGUUUGGGAGGAGAAGGACACAGAACAGCUAACAAAAGUUUUUACUGCUGACUUUGUUGGAUGCAAGCUGAAGCUUCUGGAUAUAUUAAAAUGGAAGUAAUUACAAGCUAAGCCUUAAAACCUGCACUUUAAUUAUACAGUUUUGCAUUUCUGCAGCCUAGAGAUGUAAAAGGAGUUCUGGUGGAAAUGCUGUCUGUGCAGAAUUUACCAAACUUGAGAAAACAAACAAAACAGAGCUACUCCAUGCAGCUGACUGCAGCUACUUAACAGCUCAAUAGUUGCUGUGCAAUUAAUUGCAUCUGAGCUAUGUAAUUACAAAAUCUGAAUUUCAGGUGUGCUUUAUUUUUUGGCAGGUUUUUCAGAACCUGCUCUUCACCCUGUUAUCAGGAUAACCUGACCAGGUUGAAAAUCAGCUGGAUCCUCAUAGCAUCAACUAGUUUGGGCUCUUCCUGCAACUCGGUACAGAGAAUGAGACAGUGCUGCAAUUAAAAUGCAAGGAAUGAUAAGCUGCAUGGCACGUGUAGGAAUGAAUCAGAUUUUCUCAGGCAGGCGGGCAGCCGCCUUCCACGUUCGGAAAUCAGCGGGCAUUGUGGGAGAUGUAGUGCGGAUCCGUGCCCUGCAGCUCGCCGCUCUGCAGGGCUAUCAGCCUUACGGCUGCCAGCAGCCCCCAUCCAGCCUCCCUCCCUUCGCCUUUUAACAACGGCCGUUUCCCCUCUGCCGUUCCCACUCAUCCCAGCCAGAAAAUCGAGACUAAAUUACCUUUCUACUGAGAAAUUCUCUCACCAGAGACGCGGCCACUUCUUCCACGUAGGAAUUGUCCAUUUUUAGCCCGCAGUCUGCUCGGGGGGGUUUCCUUGGCUCGGUCUGACCGAUCCCCCAUGGCAGCCCGGCCGGGCGAUGCGGCCCUGGAGCAGCUCGUCCUGCGAGCCGCCGGAUCCCAGCAACAGCAGCAGAGCAGAACUCCUCCCCGUGGGACGAGAGCCGAGCUCGCAGCUCUGCAGCAGGCGCCCUGGCAAUGCUGUGUUUCUUUUUCGGAUGCUGCAAGCACAGAUGUGUGACCUGGGAGCUGCAGAACUUGGAUCUGAUACAGCUGGAUUCUCCCUGAUAAGAAAUCACUGGUAAUAAUUCCCUGUGUUGCUGCUUAGUGGAAGAUGUGGUGUUUCUUCGGUAUCUCCAGUACUGACAGGUGAGAAAAUAGGUGGCACUGGGACCAAGAAUUUGGAAAGUCCUCAGCAGGACAGGGGGAGAAAAUAUGCUGAAAAAGAUAAAGACAGGGAGAUCACUUACCAAGUGCCAUCACUGAUAAAUCAGGCUUGGCUAGAGGAACAUUAAAGUAAAGGGGAGUUGUAAGAAAGCAGGGGACUGACUCUAUAGCAGAGUCUAUAUUGAUAGGACAAGGAGAAAUGGUUUCAAACUAAAGGAGGGGAGAUUUGGAUUGGAUAGCAGGAAGAUGUUUAUAAUAAGGGUGGUGAGGCACUGCACAGGUUGCCCAGAGAGGUGGUGGUGCCCCAUCCCUGCAGACACCCACGGUCA